ensembl:lncRNA
GCAGGAAAUGCUCCUGCAUCCCUGGGACAGCUGGGCAAUGUCUGCUGCUGUGGGUUUCUGCAGAGCUGGGAUAAAAUCACAGCUGGACUGAAAAAUUCACUGGCCCCUGACUUUCUUACGAAACUGCUCUUGGCCAAAGCAAGAAAUUGAGCUCCCAUCGGUUUUCAUAACACUCAGACAGUGCUGGGAAUGCAGAUUGAGUUCACAUUCCUCUCAUAAUUUUUGACUUUGAAUUCUGAAAUAUAGACUAUAUGUUCAAAGUUGGGGUUUUUCAGUUUUUCUCCAUGGUUUAAGACUGACAGGACAAUGAAUCUGGAGUUAAAGACACCUGGAGUUACCAGGCAGCCACUGCAGAAAUGGCACAAGCAAAUGUUUUCUAAGAAGAGAGAAACGAGUGAGUGGCAAAUAAAACUGGGAUGAUUCAGCCCUUGCAGAAGUGCAUAGAAGAGUUUAUUUAGAUUGUUAACCUGGAACAGGUGUGAGGCUUUCUAGGGCAGGAAAGCUGUUGGUGCCAGGCUGGAAUUGCUGUUGGGGUCAGAUGUGUGGCAGAGUCUGUGAUGGGUGCAAAGGCAAAUUUGGGCAUUCUGGGACAAACCCUCAGUGACAGGAGGAGUGUGCAAGCUGCAGGACAAAGUUUUAAAUCUAUUACAGGAAAGGGAAGGGGAAAGGGAAGGGGAAAGGGAAGGGGAAAGGGAAGGGGAAAGGGAAGGGGAAAGGGAAGGGGAAAGGGAAGGGGAAAGGGAAGGGGAAAGGGAAAGGGAAAGGAAAGGAAAGGAAAGGAAAGGAAAGGAAAGGAAAGGAAAGGAAAGGAAAGGAAAGGAAAGGAAAGGAAAAGGGGAAAGGAAGGGGAAAGGAAAGAAAGGGAAAGGAAAGGGAAAGGAAAGAAAGGGAAAGGAAAGGGAAAGGAAAGAAAGGGAAAGGAAAGGGAAAGGAAAGAAAGGGAAAGGAAAGGGGAAAGGAAAGAAAGGGAAAGGAAAGGGGAAAGGAAAGGGAAAGGAAAGGGAAGGAAAGGGAAGGGAAAAGGAAAGGAAAGGAAAGGGAAAAGGAAAGGAAAAAGGUUCCACAGCUCAUCAUUGUACUCUCACGUCUCACCACCUUUGAACCACUGUUGACACAAUUCUCAGGUGCAAACAUGUAACGUUGACUCCUAUUUAGGCAGUUAGUCAAAACUAGUGGGGGUGUGUUUGUCCAAGGGGCUGAAUGAAUGGAGGGUAAAUAUUUGGGUUGCUUGCCAGGCUGAUGCUGGGCAGCAGCUCGUGUUGGCACAGCUCGUGUUGGCACAGCUCUGAGUUGUGGCAGAGCAUUCUCAGCUAAACUGGCAGUGAAAGUUCACGGUGAGAACCAUUGGUACAGCUUUGGGUGGCUGCACAAAGAGCCUGUAGUGGUGUGCAGGGUGUCUGGAAGCACUGAGGUUGGUUUGGGGUGGUGCUGGAGGACAGGACUGGAUUUACAGGUUCCUUCCUGCUGCUGGUGGCCGAGCUCUGCUCAAACACGGGAUUGUCUCGGAGAUAAAGCUGAUACCAGCCAAACAACAGGGUGUUCCUGUGGUGUUCCUGAGGCAGAGAGCAGCUGGUAGAUAAGCCUUUAAUGGCAGCUGGCUGCUCAUGUUCUGCAGGAGAAUCCUUAGAAAACCUUGGGAAAAGUGUCCUUGGUGUCCCAGAGGAGCCAGAGCUCUGCUUGUGGCCACCAAAGGGAGAGCAAGCAUCCUGGCUUUUGGCAGGGCUCCAGUUGUUUACUGAGACAACUUUCCAAAGGCUUUGUUUGGCUCUCACUGAUUGGCUUCUUCUGUUUCAAGGGUUCUCUUCCAGUUUCCUUGUGUUUGGUUUUUGGAGAAGAAAAGAGCCUUCAGCUGGGAGAAAUUAAAAGUGUUUUUUUUCCCAAUCUUUGGUGCAGUUGGGAUCAGAGAAAAUCAGUUGAAGGGGAGAUCUGAACCACAUCGUUUCUUUGUCAUCUUUCCAGGUGGUAUUGUGGGCUUAGCUCCUCUUUUUGAAGGUGGCAAUAUGAGAAUUCAGAGUAGGCAGCACGAGGAUUCUUUAAAGCCUGGAAAUACAAAAGUGAUUGUGGGCAAACCAAAGCCUGUCCUGGGGGAGGGCUCACUCACCCACAUUUGAGCCUGCAGUUUAAAGGGAUGAGCUGAGAUACAGAUGUAGGAUUCCUUCUCAGUCCCAGGACUUGCAAACCUCAUUUUGUCCAGACAAGUCCAUUAACUGUGCCCCUUCCUUCCCCUGACCAAGGGGGAUAAAUGUCUUUACAGCCAGCCAUGAGUGCAGGUGCUCUCUGGUGAUUAGAUUAUCAUAAAAAGAAAUUGCUAUGUGUAUUUAUCCCAACAGAUGGGCAAUAAAUAAUUGUAUUUCCCACUUAUAUUAAAAAUC